ACGUUUGGGCCCAUAUUGCUCCAAUACCAAGUGAAAUAAGUCGCUAUAUAAAUUGAUUUUCAAGCUUAAUUUGUUGGGCUUAAAAAUUCCCGAGUUUGAUAUAUGAUUUUGAAUAUUUGAUUGAAAAUUUUGUCUCUGCGAAUAUAUAUAUAAUUUUUAAUAAAUGUAUUUUUAUAUAUUUUGUUGUAGUUCCGGAAAAACACUUUUUUUGAUAUAAUUUAUAGUACUUUUUAUUUAUCUUUUCCUUUUUUUGGACCACAAAAAUCUCUGAAAGGAACGUGUGUGUGGAAUAGCUUAGACUCGUAUAGUUUUCGAGUUUGUUAUCAAAUUGAAUUUGGUUUGUCUAUUAUAUAUACUAGUGACAGUUGCCCACGCAUUGUAUACGUAAAUUAUGUGAAAUAAAAUAAAAAAUAAAAAAAUUAUAUCCACCAAACUUGUCGAGGAAGUCUCGAAGAAUUUA
rnacentral:lncRNA from 1 species